GAACACGCCUCUGGAAGCACUCGUGUGUGAUGCUAUCAGCGGUAUCCCUGUGAGGCUCCUGGCAGCAGUGUUCAUUGCUAUGCAACAAAUCACAGAGGUCAGCAGACCCUGACCCUGCAAAGCAGCUGUGUUAUAGCAGUCACUGGAAAACACCAGUCCUUGCACACAGGAUUGCUUCAAGCCAGAACAUCUUUCCCAGAAAGACUGAGAUCUGCAUGCUGGAUCACGCUUUUCCUCUGAACAGCUAGAGGUGAAAGAUAUUUCAUGGUCUGGCUGCUUGAAAUUAGGACACUGAAGACACACUGCAGCUGGGGAAGAUGAAGGACUGGCCCAGAAGGGAGAGAUUAACCAUCCAUUUCCUAUCUUGCUGAAUGGGGGCUGAUGAGCUAGACCGCAGCAUUAAUGGCUCCUAAAUGUUAUGUAUUUUCUCCCCACUUCCUGCUGGAUGGGGACUGAUACCACAGACUUCCAGCUGGCUGCUCUUUUCUUCCCAGGAGAAUUCACAUAUUUGCUUAAGUAACUUAAUGAGAUGCAAAAGCAAGUAGAGAAGAGGAGAGAUGUGGGGCCUGCAGGUCCUCAGCAGAAAUGCUGUGUUUACUUCCCCCUUGUUCUUCACUCCUUUUCCAUCCUUUGCUCUCCUCCUUUCUGGGCACACCUAUAGGGACUGUAGCCCUUGAUGUCUGAACCAGAUUCUCCCACAGUCCUUGACAGCAGCAUUCCAGACUGGAUUGGGUAGGACUUCAGGCUGGCCUGAGCCAGGCAGAGCUGGCAGAAGAUGGAGCUGCAGAGGGGCAUGGCAGAGA